ensembl:piRNA 21ur-1687 ncRNA
UGGUUCAAUCGUUGCUGAAUG